GCGCUUAGAAGUGAGAAUGCCGGUAUGAGUAGCGAAAGACAGGUGAGAAUCCUGUCCACCGAAUGACUAAGGUUUCCUGGGGAAGGCUCGUCCGCCCAGGGUUAGUCGGGACCUAAGCCGAGGCCGAUAGGCGUAGGCGAUGGAUAACAGGUUGAUAUUCCUGUACCCGUUGUUUUUGUUUGAGCAAUGGAGGGACGCAGGAGGCUAAGGAAUCAGACGAUUGGAAAUGUCUGUCCAAGCAAUAAGUCUUGAUGUGAGUCAAAUGCUUACGUCUUUAAGGACAAGUUGUGAUGGGGAGGGAAAUAAUAGUACCGAAGUUCCUGAUGUCACACUGCCGAGAAAAGCUUCUAGUGAGAAAACAAUGGCCCGUACCGCAAACCGACACAGGUAGUCGAGGAGAGAAUCCUAAGGUGAGCGAGAGAACUCUCGUUAAGGAACUCGGCAAAAUGACCCCGUAACUUCGGGAGAAGGGGUGCUGAUCUAACGAUCAGCCGCAGUGAAUAGGCCCAAGCGACUGUUUAUCAAAAACACAGGUCUCUGCAAAAUCGAAAGAUGACGUAUAGGGGCUGACGCCUGCCCGGUGCUGGAAGGUUAAGAGGAGUGCUUAGCGCAAGCGAAGGUACGAAUUGAAGCCCCAGUAAACGGCGGCCGUAACUAUAACGGUCCUAAGGUAGCGAAAUUCCUUGUCGGGUAAGUUCCGACCCGCACGAAAGGCGUAACGAUUUGGGCACUGUCUCAACGAGAGACUCGGUGAAAUUUUAGUACCUGUGAAGAUGCAGGUUACCCGCGACAGGACGGAAAGACCCCAUGGAGCUUUACUGCAGUUUGUUAUUGAGCGUUUGAACCACUUGUACAGGAUCGGUAGGAGCCGUAGAAGCCGGGACGCUAGUAUCGACAGAGGCCACGGCCGGCUACUCCCCAUGUGUUAUGACCACCCAAACCCGCACCACUGAUCGUGGCGAGAGACCGUGACAGAUGGGCAGUUUGACUGGGGCGGUCGCCUCCUAAAGAGUAACGGAGGCGCCCAAAGGUUCCCUCAGAAUGGUUGGAAAUCAUUCGCAGAGUGUAAAGGCACAAGGGAGCUUGACUGCGAGACCUACAAGUCGAGCAGGGACGAAAGUCGGGCUUAGUGAUCCGGUGGUUCCGCAUGGAAGGGCCAUCGCUCAACGGAUAAAAGCUACCCUGGGGAUAACAGGCUUAUCUCCCCCAAGAGUCCACAUCGACGGGGAGGUUUGGCACCUCGAUGUCGGCUCGUCGCAUCCUGGGGCUGUAGUCGGUCCCAAGGGUUGGGCUGUUCGCCCAUUAAAGCGGCACGCGAGCUGGGUUCAGAACGUCGUGAGACAGUUCGGUCCCUAUCCGUCGCGGGCGUUGGAAAUUUGAGAGGAUCUGUCCUUAGUACGAGAGGACCGGGAUGGACUUACCGCUGGUGUACCAGUUGUCUCGCCAGAGGCAUCGCUGGGUAGCUAUGUAGGGAAGGGAUAAACGCUGAAAGCAUCUAAGUGUGAAGCCCACCUCAAGAUGAGAUUUCCCAUUUCUUUAAGAAAGUAAGAUCCCUGAGAGAUGAUCAGGUAGAUAGGUCAGAAGUGGAAGUGCAGUGAUGUACGGAGCGGACUGAUACUAAUCGAUCGAGGACUUAACCAA
rnacentral:rRNA from 1 species